rnacentral:rRNA from 1 species
GGCGCGAAAACUUUACAAUGCUGGCAACAGCGAUAAGGGAACCUCGAGUGCCAGGUUACAAAUCUGGCUGUCGAGAUGCCUAAAAAGCAUUUCAUAGCAAGGGCCGGGCAAGACCGGUGCCAGCCGCCGCGGUAACACCGGCGGCUCGAGUGGUAACCGUUAUUAUUGGGUCUAAAGGGUCUGUAGCCGGCCGGAUAAGUCUCUUGGGAAAUCUGGCAGCUCAACUGUCAGGCUAUCAGGAGAUACUGUCUGGCUCGAGGCCGGGAGAGGUGAGAGGUACUUCAGGGGUAGGGGUGAAAUCUUGUAAUCCUUGAAGGACCACCAGUGGCGAAGGCGUCUCACCAGAACGGACCUGACGGCAAGGGACGAGAGCUAGGGGCACGAGCCG